UACGUAGGGUGCAAGCGUUAAUCGGAAUUACUGGGCGUAAAGCGUGCGCAGGCGGUUAUGCAAGACAGAUGUGAAAUCCCCGGGCUCAACCUGGGAAUGGCAUUGGAAACUGGCGGACUAGAGUGUGGCAGAGGGGGGUGGAAUUCCGCGUGUAGCAGUGAAAUGCGUAGAGAUGCGGAGGAACACCGAUGGCGAAGGCAGCCCCCUGGGCUAACACUGACGCUCAGGCACGAAAGCGUGGGGAGCAAACAGG
rnacentral:rRNA from 1 species